rnacentral:tRNA from 1 species
GGGGUUAUAGCUCAGUGGUACAGCACUUGCCUCUCAUGCAUGAGGCCCUUUGGUUGGAUCCUUAGCACCA